CAGUGGCAUGAUCGUAGUCAAGUGUAUUUGAGGCUUAUCUCCCUGCUCCUGUUUUGGUCAGUGGGCAGCUUACCAGGUGCUGAAAAGUCAAGUGCGUGUCCAGGAAGUAACCCCUAUGCAUUAGGUUAAUGUCAUUUAUGCCUUUCUGACCUCAUCCUUGAGUUUUAAGGCCAGUCAAGAGGAGAAAGAAAUGCAAAUGUCUAACAAUAAUUAACCUUUCCCAGCAGUCCAGGUUGCAGCAACUGCAUCCUAGGGCUCCCCUUUGCCAGGGCUCAAGAUUCAGAGGGAUAUGAAAGGAAUAUAGGGAAAUACACAUCCAGGAGAAGGAAAUCGUCCCAGAAGACAAGUGGUGUUGCAGAAAUGUUGGUGAUGCUCUUCGUGCCCCUUCUGAGAGGUUACCACAAGCAGGCUGUCUGCAUCAGCCAUCUUUCACAUAGAAAUCAGCAUCUGGCCUAACUGCCCAAGUUGACCUGCAAACCUCAGAGUUAACCCAGCCAUGCAGGUUUUAACCAAGAGCUACAGUGAUUAAAGCUCUACUGGGGACUGGAAUGAAGAUGAAAAGGAGAAGCAGAAGAAGAACAGGAAAGACCUGGUUUCCCGGGGCAGGGUAGGGAUGAACUGGGGGGAGCCCCAGCAAACAGCCUCAGAGUGCCCGGUCUCGCUGGGGUUUUCCAGGCAUAGAGGCACAACCUCAGUUAUCAACGGGUCCUAGCUCUCUAGAUGAUAACCACCGUCAGAGCUACGUUUGCCUGGGUCAGUAUAACUGCAGCCAGCCUACCUGGGCAGCCUCCAGGGGCCUGGUGAGCACAUGUUUCAGAGAGUUUUACAUAAGUUCUCACCAAGAGGGAAGAGCCUCUCCUGCAAGCUGGCUGUCACGGAGCUAUUUGCAUCCUGCCUCCAUCCUGAAGGGUAGGGGUUGGCCCCUUCACAGAAGCACACUGGGCACGGAGGCGCCUGUGCCAAACCAGCCUCCGGGCCCCCUUCCAAAUGGGCUUUGUUGGGGGCCCCCCAGGGCCCAGCAGCAACCUGCCUGUGACUGCUCCUACAGGCUACACACCCAGCACUGAAGUCUCAGCUCUGCCUUUGCUCCAUUUCACACCAGGCCUGGAGGAGACCGGGUGACAGAGACAGACUAGAGAGAUUCCCAGCCUAUUUGGACGGUGUUGGACCUUUUUUAUAUUCAGAAAACAGCUCCCGCCUCCAAGGCCUGCAGCAUCCUGACACCUCCAAAAGGGAGCCUAGGUCCUCCCUCAAGGCCCGUAGAAGACACAGGUAAGCACCGCAUGCCUCUACUGCAUCAGCCUCUGACCUUGGAGGGGUUGGCCAGUGAGGGCAACAUCCUUGACCUGUCUGAGGCCCUCCUUUGAUCUCUCCAUCGCCUUCUGACCUUCCUGCCAACCAGGAUCCUCACUCCUGCCUGUGGCGCGUGUAACCUAACAGCUGUGGGGACUAUUAGAAAACAAGACUGGCACCUAAAAGUCUGCCCAGGACCUGAGAUCAAGUGGCCUCAUCAUUCCUCUGCUUAAAAACAAAGCGCCGCCGAGCAGCUAGGGCCGGGACAACACCUCCCCGCUAUUGCGUCAGCCGGUUUGAGCCUCACGGAAGCCACGCCCAGCGCCCUAAGGAACCAGCGGGGCCUGGAGGUGCGGGCGUUUAGGGAGACGUUCGCCAGCACUGCCCCCGGGAUGCUGAUGGCCUGUGAGCCUUCGGAGAAACAGGAAGCGCGCACAUACUGGUCCGCCCUUGGCACUCUCGGUUUUUUCCAGGUCCAGAGAGCGAUAUGAAACGUAUCCUGUUACGGUAACAUGAGUCAGUUGAAUCCUGUUGGGGCUUCUUCCCCAGGUGCAUAGAUUUAUGGCUGGGGUGGGGGCAGGGCCUGGAGCGCAAAGGACCCUAGGCCCGAAGAGAGGUUGGGGAGCUUCUGGCCGACUUCCUGACCACCCUAAUUUCACAGACAAGGAAGGGGCCUGGGUUGCAGGCAGAGCCAGGCUAGACCCCUGGAAUCCCAGCUUGGGACGGCGCCUUUCCCGCCACCCCUGCUCUCCCAUAGCACUAGGCUGUCUUCUGAGCAGCUUUUCUAAACCCUUUGCCAAAGGCCUAGAGGCUCAGGUGAAAGAUGCUUUGUUGAAACCUGGUUAUUCAGAUGCUGGGGAGUAGGGGGCGGAGGGGAUGUUGAUCCUGGCAAGUUAGGGGAAAGUAAAUGCUGGCUUCUGAAGCUUUUCCUGAUGACCCUUAUUCGAGUGACCAUUCCCUUCCCUUCCCUGAAAUGCACUGUUUUGAGCUCCCAGAGUAGACUGUAACAUUAACAUUCAUCUAUAUCAACCCACCUUCUCCAUGUAAUGUCAGUGCUCGUUCCUCGUGCACAGCACACAAAUUCCUAGGCAGUUUUCCACUUCCCCAUUCAUGCCUGACCUGAGCAGUGUGUGUUGAAUUUGGAUCAACAGUCACUCUAGAACAGAAGCCACAGAGAUCCAAGGACUGAGGUUGAAGAAGGGCUGAGUGCUAAUGCCUAGGCCAUCGCAGCUGGGACAAGCCCUUCUAAGGCCCAGGCAGGGGUGAGGAUGGGGGUGGGGCCAGAUUAACAGGAACGGAGAUUGUUCUCUGGAGCAGAGCAGAUAAAAAGACUUCCUAUUCUCCCCAUUACCUUACAAUUAAUAUUAAUGGUUGUAUUACUGAGAGCUUAAAAUGGCAUCUGUAUUGCUCUUUUUAACUCUGUUGAUAGGAACUACCAAACCCCCCAAUUUAAAGAUGAGAACACUGAGGCACAGAAAGAUUGAAUGAUGUUCUGAAAACCUCAUGGCUGACAAGUGGUAAAGCCAGAAGGCCACCAUUUACCAGUAUGUUCUACUGCCCCCUGAAAAUGAUUCUGUGAUGGCCUCCCUGCCCUUGAUGGGAUGUUGAAGGGUCCUCUGAGCAGAGCCACAAAGGCUGCUCAGCAAGCUGGGUUCCAAGAUCAAGGAGCUUAUUCUUUGUUAUGUCACUAUGAGGGCUCUAAUAGUUCAUGACCUCUGAGCUGUGAGAUGUCCUUGCCCAGCCUCCACCCCUGGGUGCCCAGUGGGCCUCUGAGGCAAAGAGUGGGCAUGGAGAGGACCCCGUGAGGAAUGGGUUCAGCCUGACCCUGGCCGCACCCCCAGUGCUGCCUGCUGGAGAAUGGGUCAGGGAACUUUCACCAGGGAAAUGGUUAUUCAAACAGACUGAAACAAUAAGGCUGGAAAACAAGCCAAGAUGCUGGGCUAAGAAGCCAGAAAAAAUAGGAAAGGUGCCUCCCUUUAUCAAGAUCAAAGAGGCCUGGCUCACUGAGCAGCUAGAACAAAAGGCUCCAAUCAGAACUCAAAGUUGUUGUUGAAGGAGACCUUUUGGGAGGAAAAUCAACACUGUGUAGCCGGUCCACUCCUUUCCCAGGACCGGGUCUCAGCAAUCUUCUGCAUCUGUGAAUGGAGAUUUCAGCAAACAGAAAGGCACAUCCGGCUUCCAGUUUCCUGACCCUGACGCCGUCCUCACUGUCAACACCAGUGGCUCUCUACCUUCUGUGACAUUUACUGGGCUACUCAUUGUACUACUUUCUUAAUCAAGGAAAAAUGAAGUAAAAAAUCUUGGGAAAUCUAGGAAGCUCAUUGCAGGAAUACCUCAGAAAGGUGACUCAGUACUUCUUCAUUUCACAAAGGGAACCAGAAGUUUCGCAAGAACGUUGUUGUUCUAAGUUGAUUGAACCAGGACUUCCUGACUCCUGAACUUUUUGCUGAUCGCCCUGGGCUCAGUUACAAGAUCCGUGGUUGGCAGAAAGAGCACUCUCACCUUUUCAGAAACGGUUGAGUCUGGAAUGGCUGAGCGACCUGACGUGCUUCUGCAGAGUACCCCAGACUGGUUCGGCCCUGGUAGCAAGGGUGUUCUAGAACUCUGGGAAAUGUUGAACUAUGAAUCCAAGAAGCAGCUGGGCCAACAGAAAAUUUGCCUGUGAAUAGGACAUGAAAUCACACGCAAAAGCUGAUGCCCCCAAAAUGUUUUCAUUCUCGGCAUGAUCAA